rnacentral:lncRNA from 1 species
UUCGUGUGGGCAUUGUCGUCAAUUGCCUUAGUACUGAGGCGAGUUCCAUUAAUCAUAUAAAAAGACUUCUAAAGAUGAUGACUUUCCAGAACCCUAAAUUUUGUUUCUCAAUUUCUCCAAACAACUUCGACUGCCGCCGCUAUUCUCUGUCGGAAGAAAGAUGCAUCUUUCAAAACUUCAAAUAUAAACCAAGCAGAGGGUCCAACUUCAAAAUGUCAACACUCUAAAAGAGUUGAAUGGAGAGCAGUAUAUCUCCAAACCAAGAGUUGUGAACGAGUCAAAAGGAUGGGUUUUUUGAAAGCCAAAAUCAUUGUUCUUCGGAGACUUCCUCUUGGUGAGAACGGUUCAGGUUAACAUCUGAUGUUUCUCUAUCAAUUCAAUCCAUCUCAUUGCUCAAGUUUGAUACUUUUGACUCUAGUUCCUUUGCUUAUCUUAACUGUUAAUACUUAAAAGAGGGGAACUUUCUCUAUAUCACUUUGCUUUGCUUGAUUAUUUCACCGUGUAUCAGAACUUCAUAGCCGUGAGGUUUUGGCAUGAGGAUUAAACACGGUGGUACAUCAAAUAAGCACAUAUGGCUGUAUCCAUCUGAUCAUGAGAGAUUAAUUGGCAGUCUUAGCGCUACAGUUUGAGUUUUCUGCAUUUCAAUUUGUCUAGGGACUUUUAGAAAGAGUUUCUGCUAUUGACCUGCACGCUCUUUAAGACUGAUGUUUAGAUGCUCUGUUUAUACAAUCACUCAUGGAUGCUGAUCAAUUCAUGACUCUGUAUGCUAACCAAGCUCUUAUCUCUAUGGGCAUGUGACAUUUACAGGAUGAAGAUUGUAGCAAAACACUGAGAAAGGAAGCAGACAACUCGGCAGUACCUGGAUCUUAUGAAUGGCCUUCCCUCCAUUUCCCUCUCCUGGAC